rnacentral:rRNA from 1 species
UAAUACGGAGGGUGCGAGCGUUGUUCGGAAUUACUGGGCGUAAAGCGCGUGUAGGUGGCUGCGUAAGUCGGUUGUGAAAUCCCCAGGCUCAACCUGGGAACUGCAUCCGAAACUGCGUGGCUAGAGUCCCGGAGAGGAAGGCAGAAUUCCGAGUGUAGGGGUGAAAUCCGUAGAUAUUCGGAGGAAUACCAGUGGCGAAGGCGGCCUUCUGGACGGUGACUGACACUGAGACGCGAAAGCGUGGGGAGCAAACAGGAUUAGAUACCCUGGUAGUCCACGCCGUAAACGUUGUGCACUAGGCGUCGGGGGUAUUCACCCCUCCGGUGCCGCAGCUAACGCAUUAAGUGCACCGCCUGGGGAGUACGGCCGCAAGGCUA